GAUGAAGAACGUAGCGAAAUGCGAUACUUGGUGUGAAUUGCAGAAUCCCGUGAACCAUCGAGUCUUUGAACGCAAGUUGCGCCCGAAGCCAUCAGGUUGAGGGCACGUCUGCCUGGGCGUCACAUAUCGUUGCCCAAUGCCUAUUCCAGUGCAAUAGGAAUUUCUAGGGCGAAUGAUGGCUUCCCGUGAGCGUUGUUGCCUCGCGGUUGGUUGAAAAUCGAGUCCUUGGUAGGGUGUGCCAUGGUAGAUGGUGGUCGAGUUAGAACGAUACCGAUCAUGUGCAUGCUCCCCAAAAUAUGGCCUCUAUGACCCACACGCGUCUUUUGACGCUCAUGACGAGACCUCAGGUCAGGCGGGGCUACCCGCUGAAUUUAAGCAUAUCAAUAAGCGGAGGA
rnacentral:misc_RNA from 1 species